rnacentral:rRNA from 1 species
GGAUAACCUACUCUUAGGACUGGGAUAACCCUGGGAAACUGGGGAUAAUACUGGAUAGGCAAUUAUUCCUGUAAUGGUUUUUUGUUUAAAUGUUUUUUCGCCUAAGGAUGGGUCUGCGGCCGAUUAGGUAGUUGGUUAGGUAAUGGCUUACCAAGCCUUUGAUCGGUACGGGUUGUGAGAGCAAGAGCCCGGAGAUGGAACCUGAGACAAGGUUCCAGGCCCUACGGGGUGCAGCAGGCGCGAAACCUCCGCAAUGUGAGAAAUCGCGACGGGGGGAUCCCAAGUGCCAUUCUUAACGGGAUGGCUUUUCAUUAGUGUAAAGAGCUUUUGGAAUAAGAGCUGGGCAAGACCGGUGCCAGCCGCCGCGGUAACACCGGCAGCUCUAGUGGUAGCAGUUUUUAUUGGGCCUAAAGCGUCCGUAGCCGGUUUAAUAAGUCUCUGGUGAAAUCCUGCAGCUUAACUGUGGGAAUUGCUGGAGAUACUAUUAGACUUGAGAUCGGGAGAGGUUAGAGGUACUCCCAGGGUAGAGGUGAAAUUCUGUAAUCCUGGGAGGACCGCCUGUUGCGAAGGCGUCUGACUGGAACGAUUCUGACGGUGAGGGACGAAAGCUAGGGGCGCGAACCGGAUUAGAUACCCGGGUAGUCCUAGCUGUAAACGAUGCGGACUUGGUGUUGGGGUGGCUUUGAGCUGUCCCAGUGCCGAAGGGAAGCUGUUAAGUCCGCCGCCUGGGAAGUACGGUCGCAAGACUGAAACUUAA